GAUGAACGCUGGCGGCGUGCUUAACACAUGCAAGUCGAACGAUUGAAGCUGGAGCUUGCUCCGGCCGAUUUAGUGGCGGACGGGUGAGUAACGCGUGGGUAACCUGCCUCAUACAGGGGGAUAGCAGUUGGAAACGACUGGUAAAACCGCAUAAGCGCACGGUGUCGCAUGACACAGUGUGAAAACACUCCGGUGGUAUGAGAUGGACCCGCGUCUGAUUAGCUAGUUGGUGAGGUAACGGCCCACCAAGGCGACGAUCAGUAGCCGGCCUGAGAGGGUGAACGGCCACAUUGGGACUGAGACACGGCCCAAACUCCUACGGGAGGCAGCAGUGGGGAAUAUUGCACAAUGGGGGAAACCCUGAUGCAGCGACGCCGCGUGAGUGAUGAAGUAUUUCGGUAUGUAAAGCUCUAUCAGCAGGGAAGAUAAUGACG
rnacentral:rRNA from 1 species